rnacentral:rRNA from 1 species
AAGAAUUAAGAGUUCGAUCCUAGCUCCGAAUGAAUGCUAGUAGUAUGCUUUAACACAUGCAAGUCUUAUAAGUUUUAUAAUUAAUAUUUUUGAUUAAAUAUUUUAUAAAAUUUAUGGCGUAAAGGUGAGUAAUUAUAGAUAUUAUUACCUAAAAAUUGUUGCAAAAAUUUAAUUUAAUCAAUAAUAUAUUGAAAGAAAUUUUAAUUUCGUUUUUAGCUAUAUAUCUAUAGAAGAUUAGGUAGUUGGUAAGGUAAAAGCUUACCAAGCCAAAGAUCUUUAAUUGGUUUGUGAGAAUGAUCAAUCACAUUGGGAUUGAAAUAAAGCCCAAACUCAUUAAGAGUCAGCAGUGGGGAAUAUUGGACAAUAAACGAAAGUUUGAUCCAGCAAUACUACAUAAGUGAUGAAGGCUUUAUCGUUGUAAAACUUAUAAAUUGAUGAAACAAUGAUUUAUCAAUGGAAUAGUUCUGGCAAACUCUGUGCCAGCAGCCGCGGUAAUACAGAGGGAACGAGCAUUAUUCGUCUUUACUGGGCGUAAAGUGUCUUAAGGUUAUUUUUUUUAAUUAAAAAUAAAAUAUUAAAGCUUAACUUUAAUAAUUUUUUAAUAUUAGAAAAUUUUGAGUAUAUUAAAGGAUUAUAGAAUUUCUAAAGUAGGUGUGACAACCGUUUAUAUUAGGAAGAAUGCCAGUUGGUGAAAACAAUAAUCUAUUAAAAUACUGACAUUGAUAGACGAAAGCAUGGGUAGCAAACAGGAUUAGGUACCCUGGUAGUCCAUGCUAUAAACGAUAAAUAUUAAAUAUUAUUAAAAGAAUAUAUAAGAAUAAUUUUUUUUUGUAUAUUUUUAUAUAAUAUAAAAAGUUAACACGUAAAAUAUUUCGCCUGGGGAGUAAAACCGCAAGGUUGAAACUCAAAGGAAUUGACGGGAGCUUAUACGUACGGUGGAGCAUGUGGUUUAAUCCGAUAGUCCGCGUGGAAUCUUACCAAUUUUUGACAGUUUAUAAUAUUUUUUAAUUAUAAAACAGGUGUUGCAUGGUCGUCGUCAGCUUUUAUUUUGAAAUUAAGAUAUAAGUUUAACCCUUGUAUUAAGUUGCUAUUAUUUAAAAUAAUUUAUAAAAAUAAUUUGUAAAUUAGUAAAUAAGUACUCUUAAUUAAAUUAUUUAAAUUUAACUAAAUAUAAAUUGAGAGAAAAUUUAUAGUUAAAUUUUUAUUUACAAAGGAUGAAGAUAGAUCGUUAUGACCCUUAUGAAUUGGGCUACACAUGUGCUACAAUAUUUUUUACAAAAAGAAGCAAUUAUGAAAAUAGGAGCAAAUCUUCAAAAGAAAAUGUAAUGCAGAUGAUUAUAGAUUGAAACUCAUCUAUAUGAAGUUGGAAUCGUAAGUAAUCGUAAAUUAGUAUGUUACGGUGAAUUGUUAAAUAAAGAUAAAUUUUUAUUUUUAUUUGUUUAUAAGCUCUGUACACACCGCCCGUCACAUUAGAGAAGUAAGUUUUUAUUAAAAUACUGUUUGUUUAUUAUAUAUAAAUUGUAAAUAUUUUUAUAAUUUUUUAUAUUUUAGGUAAAUUUUAUAAGGUGAAAAUUUAUGAUUUUAAUGAAGUCGUAACAAGGUAACCGUAUGGGAACAUGCGGUUGGAAU